rnacentral:rRNA from 1 species
UCCUUUGAUUUUGAGGAAGGUUUAAAGCUAGCGGCACUUUUAAUACAUGCUAGUCAAACGGGGAAUAAAACCCCCGUGGCAAACAGGUGAGUAAUGUACCGAUUUUGCCCAAAAGUGAGGGCAAAAACCCCAGGGGGGCGGGGGCGCCUUCGGCGCCCCCGCCCCCGGAAAUUGAGGGGACCCACCUCAGGCGUCCGUUUGCUUUUGGAGAGAUCGGAAUUCGUAUUAGACGAGGAACGGGGAGCCGAAGGGCUCCCCAUAGUAUUCUUGGAUGGGGGAGCCGAAGGGCCCCCCCAAAAUAGAUUUUUCCUCUGUCAAUGAUGCGUAGCUGAAAGGUCACAGUUAUACUGAAACAAGGAUAACCGCGCUAAUGCGCGCCAGCAGUAGAGAAUUUUGGGCAAUCAACGAAAGUUGGACCCAGAGAUGUCGCUUUUUUGGGGGAUUCGGCAAAUCCCAAGAGGGGGAACGGAGAGCCCUUCGGGCUCUCCCCGCUUCCGGGCCCCUUUUCCCCCGCUUUUAAGUCCGUCAAAAAGACGUGCCAGCAGACGCGGUUAUACGUCUGGACUAAGUUUUAGCCAGAAAACAGGCGUAAAGUGUGAAGAGGGUGAGCGAAAAAGAAGGCGCGGUUUUUAAAAGAAAAAAUCCCGCUUUUAUAUAGAGAAAAAAAAGGUAAUUGGAACUUUUAGGUAUUGGUGAAAUAAUUCGAUCUAAAAAGGAACACCGGAGACGAAGGUUAAUUACCAAAAAGUUCUGUCGCUUUUUUCACGAAAACAUAGGGAGCAAACAGGAUUAGAUACCCUGGUAGUCUAUUGUUGUAAAAGCUGAUCUAACGCGGCAAAAUUUUUAUGUCGCCUUGAUAACUCGAAAAGAUUCCGCCUGAAUAGUACGACCGCAAGGUUGAAAUUCAAAAAAUUUGGCGGUUCACUAAUCCAAUUAGAGGAGCGUGUAGUUUAAUGCGAUGAUCCGCGAAUAACCUUACCAGAACUUGAAUAAAAGGAAUAGGCAGGGGCGCCGUAGGCGCUUUUUUUGCUCCAGAACGGUUCCCCCCGGCCCGGCCCUCGUGUGGGCCCCUUUUACAGGUAUCGCACGGCCGUCGUCAGUUUGUGUUGUGAAACUUUUUUAACGAACUUAACCCCUUUUUUAGAUAAAAAGGGGACAAAAAGAGGGGAAAAAAUUUUUUAACCAGUUGGGGAUCCAAAGGGGGGUCCGUAGGAUCCCACCUUUGCCUCCCCCCCCCUUUUUUAUCUAUUUAUUUGGGAUGACGUCAGGUCCUCAUGGUCCUAAUGUUCUGGGCCCGGGGGGAUCCUUCGGAUCCCCCCUUUAUGCGCUACAAUCUUUUUCACAAAAAUGAAUAUUCUCUUCGUUUACAAUUCUUUUUAAUAAAAAAGCUCGGAGAAAGGCCUGAAAAGUUCUUUUGAAGUUGGAUUUAAUAGUAAUCGUAAAGUAGAGCGUUACGGUGAAUAUGGCUCUAGUGUUCGUACAAAUCGCCCGUCAACUCGGCCGAGUUUUAAAAGUUCGAGAAGUCUAAGAGUUUCUCGGUAUAUAUCGAGGGAUCCUUUGGAUCCCGCCAACCCUGUUUGGUGUAUUACCUUCGCUUUUCCGAAAAGCUUUUUAUAUUUUGAGACUUUCGAAAUUAGGUUGAGUAAGUCGUAACAAAGCAAGAGUACUGGAAAGUGUUCUUG